GAUGAACGCUGGCGGCGUGCCUAAUACAUGCAAGUCGAGCGAACAGACGAGGAGCUUGCUCCUCUGACGUUAGCGGCGGACGGGUGAGUAACACGUGGAUAACCUACCUAUAAGACUGGGAUAACUUCGGGAAACCGGAGCUAAUACCGGAUAAUAUAUUGAACCGCAUGGUUCAAUAGUGAAAGACGGUUUUGCUGUCACUUAUAGCUGGAUCCGCGCCGCAUUAGCUAGUUGGUAAGGUAACGGCUUACCAAGGCAACGAUGCGUAGCCGACCUGAGAGGGUGAUCGGCAACACUGGAACGGGGACACGGUCAAGACUCCUACGAGAGGCAGCAGUAGGGAAUCUUCCGCAAUGGGCGAAAGCUGGACGGAGCAACGCCGCGUGAGUGAUGAAGGUCUUCGGAUCGUAAAACUCUGUUAUUAGGGAAGAACAUAUGUGUAAGUAACUAUGCACGUAUUGACGGUACCUAAUCAGAAAGCCACGGCUAACUACGUG
rnacentral:rRNA from 1 species